rnacentral:rRNA from 1 species
CGAACGGGAAUUUGAGACUUCGGUGGAUUAUUUCUAGUGGCGGACGGGUGAGUAACGCGUGGGUACCUGCCUUAUACAGGGGGAUAACAGUCAGAAAUGGCUGCUAAUACCGCAUAAGGCUGCAUGGCAAAAACUCCGGUGGUAUAAGAUGGACCGCGUUGGAUUAGCUUGUUGGUGGGGUAACGGCCCACCAAGGCGACGAUCCAUAGCCGGCCUGAGAGGGUGAACGGCCACAUUGGGACUGAGACACGGCCCAGACUCCUACGGGAGGCAGCAGUGGGGAAUAUUGCACAAUGGGGGAAACCCUGAUGCAGCGACGCCGCGUGAAGGAAGAAGUAUCUCGGUAUGUAAACUCUAUCAGCAGGGAAGAUAGUGACGGUACUUGACUAAGAAGCCCCGGCUAACUACGUGCCAGCAGCCGCGGUAAUACGUAGGGGGCAAGCGUUAUCCGGAUUUACUGGGUGUAAAGGGAGCGUAGACGGUGUGGCAAGUCUGAUGUGAAAGGCAUGGGCUCAACCUGUGGACUGCAUUGGAAACUGUCAUACUUGAGUGCCGGAGGGGUAAGCGGAAUUCCUAGUGUAGCGGUGAAAUGCGUAGAUAUUAGGAGGAACACCAGUGGCGAAGGCGGCUUACUGGACGGUAACUGACGUUGAGGCUCGAAAGCGUGAGGAGCAAACAGGAUUAGAUACCCUGGUAGUCCACGCCGUAGACGAUGAAUACUAGGUGUCGGGUGGACACCAUUCGGUGCCGU